GAUGAAGAACGCAGCGAAAUGCGAUAAGUAAUGUGAAUUGCAGAAUUCAGUGAAUCAUCGAAUCUUUGAACGCAUCUUGUGCUCCUUGGUAUUCUGAGGAGCAUGCCUGUUUGAGUGUCAUUAAAUUCUCAACUACACUGACUUUGAAUUGGUGUGGCUUGGAUUUGGGGGGAAAAUUGUUGUGGGCUUUUUGUAUAGUCUGCUCCCCUGAAAUUGAUUAGCGGUACCUUUGUGGAACUGUCUACAGGUGUGAUAAUUAUCUACAUCUUAGACAUCUGCUGGAAUGCUGCUUUCUAAACCUUACUUGUAUUGACAAUCUUGACCUCAAAUCAGGUAGGACUACCCGCUGAACUUAAGCAUAUCAAUAAGCGGAGGA
rnacentral:misc_RNA from 1 species